AUACUUCUGCAGAACAUAUACUCAAACGGGCAUAAUAUAGAGGAGAUUAGCAUGGCUCUUGCGGAAAAAUGGUACCCAAAAUCUUGAGGCAUUCCACAUUUUG